rnacentral:sRNA from 1 species
GCAGGAGGUUCGACUCGAGCGAAGCGAGAGAACGUUGCGUCAGCAACGGCCCGCAGGGCGAGUCACGCAGUGGCGAGUCAUCCUCUAUCACCGACCA